GCCUUGAUGUGUAGGAUAGGUGGGAGGCUUUGAAGUGUGGACGCCAGUCUGCAUGGAGCCGACCUUGAAAUACCACCCUUUAAUGUUUGAUGUUCUAACGUGGACCCGUGAUCCGGGUUGCGGACAGUGUCUGGUGGGUAGUUUGACUGGGGCGGUCUCCUCCUAAAGAGUAACGGAGGAGCACGAAGGUUGGCUAAUCCUGGUCGGACAUCAGGAGGUUAGUGCAAUGGCAUAAGCCAGCUUGACUGCGAGCGUGACGGCGCGAGCAGGUGCGAAAGCAGGUCAUAGUGAUCCGGUGGUUCUGAAUGGAAGGGCCAUCGCUCAACGGAUAAAAGGUACUCCGGGGAUAACAGGCUGAUACCGCCCAAGAGUUCAUAUCGACGGCGGUGUUUGGCACCUCGAUGUCGGCUCAUCACAUCCUGGGGCUGAAGUAGGUCCCAAGGGUAUGGCUGUUCGCCAUUUAAAGUGGUACGCGAGCUGGGUUUAGAACGUCGUGAGACAGUUCGGUCCCUAUCUGCCGUGGGCGCUGGAGAACUGAGGGGGGCUGCUCCUAGUACGAGAGGACCGGAGUGGACGCAUCACUGGUGUUCGGG
rnacentral:rRNA from 1 species